GGGGGGACGGAGAAGGCUAUGUUGGCCGGGCGACGGUUGUCCCGGUUUAAGCGUGUAGGCUGGUUUUCCAGGCAAAUCCGGAAAAUCAAGGCUGAGGCGUGAUGACGAGGCACUACGGUGCUGAAGCAACAAAUGCCCUGCUUCCAGGAAAAGCCUCUAAGCAUCAGGUAACAUCAAAUCGUACCCCAAACCGACACAGGUGGUCAGGUAGAGAAUACCAAGGCGCUUGAGAGAACUCGGGUGAAGGAACUAGGCAAAAUGGUGCCGUAACUUCGGGAGAAGGCACGCUGAUAUGUAGGUGAAGUCCCUCGCGGAUGGAGCUGAAAUCAGUCGAAGAUACCAGCUGGCUGCAACUGUUUAUUAAAAACACAGCACUGUGCAAACACGAAAGUGGACGUAUACGGUGUGACGCCUGCCCGGUGCCGGAAGGUUAAUUGAUGGGGUCAGCGCAAGCGAAGCUCUUGAUCGAAGCCCCGGUAAACGGCGGCCGUAACUAUAACGGUCCUAAGGUAGCGAAAUUCCUUGUCGGGUAAGUUCCGACCUGCACGAAUGGCGUAAUGAUGGCCAGGCUGUCUCCACCCGAGACUCAGUGAAAUUGAACUCGCUGUGAAGAUGCAGUGUACCCGCGGCAAGACGGAAAGACCCCGUGAACCUUUACUAUAGCUUGACACUGAACAUUGAGCCUUGAUGUGUAGGAUAGGUGGGAGGCUUAGAAGUGUGGACGCCAGUCUGCAUGGAGCCGACCUUGAAAUACCACCCUUUAAUGUUUGAUGUUCUAACGUUGACCCGUAAUCCGGGUUGCGGACAGUGUCUGGUGGGUAGUUUGACUGGGGCGGUCUCCUCCUAAAGAGUAACGGAGGAGCACGAAGGUUGGCUAAUCCUGGUCGGACAUCAGGAGGUUAGUGCAAUGGCAUAAGCCAGCUUGACUGCGAGCGUGACGGCGCGAGCAGGUGCGAAAGCAGGUCAUAGUGAUCCGGUGGUUCUGAAUGGAAGGGCCAUCGCUCAACGGAUAAAAGGUACUCCGGGGAUAACAGGCUGAUACCGCCCAAGAGUUCAUAUCGACGGCGGUGUUUGGCACCUCGAUGUCGGCUCAUCACAUCCUGGGGCUGAAGUAGGUCCCAAGGGUAUGGCUGUUCGCCAUUUAAAGUGGUACGCGAGCUGGGUUUAGAACGUCGUGAGACAGUUCGGUCCCUAUCUGCCGUGGGCGCUGGAGAA
rnacentral:rRNA from 1 species